rnacentral:rRNA from 1 species
AACGAACGCUGGCGGCAUGCCUAACACAUGCAAGUCGAACGAGACCUUCGGGUCUAGUGGCGCACGGGUGCGUAACGCGUGGGAACCUGCCCUUAGGUUCGGAAUAACUCCCCGAAGGGGGUGCUAAUACCGGAUAAUGUCUUCGGACCAAAGAUUUAUCGCCUUUGGAUGGGCGCGUGUUGGAUUAGCUAGUUGGUAGGGUAAAAGCCUACCAAGGCGACGAUCCAUAGCUGGUCGGAUAGGAUGCUCAGCCACGCUGGGACUGAGACACGGCCCAGACUCGUACGGGGGGCAGCAGUGGGGAAUACUGGACGCUGGGCGAAAGCCUAAUACAGCAAUGCCGCGUGAGUGAUGAAGGCCUUAGGGUUGUAAAGCUCUUUUACCCGGGAUGAUAAUGACAGUACCGGGAGAAUAAGCUCCGGCUAACUCCGUG